rnacentral:tRNA from 1 species
UCCCUGGUGGUCCAGUGGUGAAGAUUCUGCACUCCCAAUGUAGGGAGUCUAGGUUUGAUCCCUGGUCAGGGAA